UGAUGAUAGCGAAAUCACUUCCUGGCGAUCGACCGCCCUCGCGGUCAGUCUCGCCGCGAUUCCCUUUCUCCCCGAUUCCCUUUCUCCCCAAUUCCCUUUCCAUUUUCGGCAAGCCCAGGAGCACUGGCCCUCUCCUCGUCGCGAAGCCGCCCAGCGCCCGCCCCCUCCUCGUCGACGAAGCCUCCUCCCCUGCUUAGCAUCCCCCGGAACAAUCAUCUCCCCCUACCCCGAUGAGGGGUUGUCCAGAACCAGGGGAGAAGCGGAGAUCUAACUGCUGCUCCGGGGAUCCCUCCUCCCCAGUGUCCUUCCCGGUCCGCGGACGACCUCACCUCGGCGCUGCCCUGUUGUGGUGACCUCCCCACCCUGCCCUUACCUGCCUGCGAGGACCUCGUCGGGAGGCCGCGGGUCGACCUCGUCAUCUUCCUUCGUCGGCCCCGCCACCACUCCCUCCACCGCCUUUGCGCGCCCCGCCACCGCUACCUCCGCGCGGCUCGCAACGCCUUCCUCUACUGUCUCCCCGCGGCCAACUUCGCGAGCAGCCAGGAGGGCACCUCCCGUCGCGGCAGUGCACGCGUCCAAUGCCAAGGAGAAUAGCAUUGUCACCGACCACUGUUCUUUUCCACUCCCUCAGCCAGUCCUAGAGAGAUCAACAAGGGGGACUAGGUGGUUUGGUAUGCUGAUGGAGACAGCACGGUGCUCAAUGAGUACAACCUGAGUAUCGCCUAUGCUUUUGGGUUUAUUCCAACCUUUGGAGAGAUAGAUGCAUAAAUAACACCGACUCCUGUCUGAGUGGAGCUGAGACACAAGGAUUAGGGGCGACAUCAGCACACAAGGUUCUCCCUGUGAUGUAGUUCUUCGUAGUCAGUUCAUCACAAGGCCUCAUCAGAUUCGGAUAAUCUAUUGGAUGAUGUGGAGGAUCUCUAGUAUCCGCUGGCGAGUUUUCCUUAACUUUUUCUCCCUACAAACAUAAUAUGAUGUCAAUUCAUGUGAGGCUUUAAUCAGAGUUUGCAUUGCAGUGGAGGCUACUUUUGUCCAUCCUUCGGUUGUUGAUACGCUAGAUGCGGUUGUUGAUACGCUAGAUGCUGCUGUGGAUGAUACAGUUGAGAAUGUCCACUGUAUUAGUUUUCGUAUCUCCUAAAUGUGUAAUGUGAUUUCGUCACUGUUAGUGUCCUAACUUGGCAUUAUGCAUCCCUGAAAAUGAUCCCCCACCCCCACCCCAGUUGUCUUUGAUCCUCUACACAUGGUGUGGAACUAAUACAACUUGCACAUGAAUGAUUGACUUUACCUCCCUCCAAAUUUUGUAAUGUUACCGCUUGUUUAAUGUUUUUACUUCUAACAAUGCACAUUUGCUUCCACUUAUAGGAAGAGUUUGACACUCGUGAUCCUAUCGAGAACAGUUCGCUACUACCUUAUGUGAGGAAAUGUCAAAUUUAUCGAGAUAGUUGCAGCAUGAGCUAUAAUUUCACUUUAUCACAGUUAGGAGUGUGCAGUGAAUUUAGUAGAGGUAUUUUUGUUUUCUUGUUGUUCUCAUGUGCUUCAUAUUCAUAUGGUCAUAUUGAGAUGGUCCUCUUAUAUUUCCAGUAUGUAAGUGCAGUUCAAAAUAGUCAUGUUCUGCUGUACAUACCGCAAAUGCUACAUGUUGGCACUGCAUUGGGUAAACGCUGCUCCUAUUCACAUGUACAACAAGAGUGUUAGUAUCAACUUCAAUGUAAAUAUAUGGAUUUUUUUUCAAUGAAUACAAUCCAUUUUGCUACAUGCUUAUGUUCUCUUUACAUUUUUGAUUUAUAAUAUAUUCUGUAUAAUUAUCCUACUCUUACCGCUCUGCUAGAAAAAUCGUGUUUUUCUUAAUUUUGUAUGCCCACAUAAAAGAUCAGAUUAUGGUUUACGCGAGGAUAAGUUCAUCUUUCCCUGCUUUAAUUAUCUUUACAAGAUAUAUCCAAAAAUAUUUGAUAGGUGGUAAAUGCCCACUAUCUACAUGUUCCUGUUCCUGCAAGUUUGGUACCUCUUGUUUGUAUGUAUGAUUAAUGUUGGAGCUUUCUGCUGUAUUAGACUAGCUUCUGGCCAGCCAACUCUAUUUCUGAUGCGACUAAUCUUUGCUGCUUAAUAAAUUUUCAAGGUGCAGUAUACUUAAAUGGGUUCCAAACAGUAUACUAUGGCUCUUAAGAUUCCAAUCAGGUGGUGAAACUAGAUUCAUUCAUGGAGCCGAGACUGCUGGAGGAGAGGUUCUUAUGCAACAUGUGUAUUGGUUGUGUGAUAACUACCUUUAAGGAUCCCUUGAUAAGUUGGUAUGCAAGUUUCCCCAGUUGUUACAUGCUCUUCUCUAUGUAUGGAGCUUUCGUCUAACCAACCACUUAAGAUUGGCCAUGUGUAUAUUUUGAGUUGUUUCUUACAUGACAUAAAAAGUCACAAUAGGAAUUAAUUAAUUUAUGGAGCCUCUAACACACUGGUAGAAAUUUUGUUAUUUUGGAUCCAUUGCUAUGCAUCAUGUAAUGUCGAGCAUAUUGUUUAACAUUGUAGAUUAUUUCGUUCAAUUCAUAUUUAGCAGCUUUCCCAUC